UACAAUACCGUAUCAGACACUAGAGACUUAAGGGGCCAUAACCAGUACCUUGAAAAAAUACAUGGAAGGUCAUGAUAAUUUUUUUUAAUAAAAAGUAUAAAUUAUAUUAAUAGACACCAUAAGGGUGCCAACCCCUAUACAAACUAUUUACAUAUUUACCAAGAUCUCAACAAGGUCCCCCAAAUCAUCCAUUGAGUAAAAAAGAUGACCAAAAGUCAAAGUCAAGGAUCUAGAACCAUCUGUUCCUAAUCCUAUCAAAAUCCCCCCACAUCCUCAACCCCCUCCAAAGCUUUUCUACUCCUCAACUUCCAUGUCAUCCAGAAAAUGGUGCGUGGGGAUCAUGAUAGUGUCCAGGACUAGAAUAAUUUUCCAAGUAUGCCUACUGCCAAGACAUUCUUUUCAGCCCAGAAACAUCAACUGUAAUGCAGCGUGAUAUUGCAUGUAGAAUAAUUUCAAUUACAGUCAUGAUUUAUGAAAUCAAUUUGUAAACUACUACCUUACAAAUUUUUGAGUUCUUUGCUCAUAAUUUUUUUUAAAAAAAAGAAAAUUAGAUUUUGAAGGAAAGAAGAGGAAAAUGCCAUGAACGAGCAUAUCUUUUAGGCUCAUCAAGAGUUAGAACUUUAAAAAUCAUGGUUUCCUUUUCCUAAACACUAGAACUUGCAGAUUCAUGGAAAUUCAAUUCAAGGAAGGAUUCUGCACGGUAACUCACCAUCUGAGAUCAUUGAGCACUUCACAAAAAGUGUUGGAAGGCCUCCGGAGCUUCCUGAGUGGAUUAUAUCUGGGGCUGUGGUUGGAAUGCAAGGUGGCACAGAUGCGGUUCGCCAUGUUUGGGAUGAACUGAAGACUUACAAGGUUCCCAUUUCAUCAUUUUGGUUGCAGGUAAUGCACACUGCAUGCCCUGAAGAGAAACGUCUUUUUAGCUUAUUGAUGUGCACAACUGAUGAUCCUCGUUUCAUCUCAGCAAAUAAUUUUAACAUCUUCACAUAUCAAACUUGAUUAAUUUCAACUUUGCUUCCACCAAGUAUUUAGCAGUUUAAUCAAUUGAGUGGCACUUGUUGUGUAGGAUUGGGUGGGGCAACGGGAGACACUGAUUGGAUCUCAGCUGUGGUGGAACUGGGAAGUGGAUACCAAAAGGUAUGAGGGAUGGCGACAGCUUAUUAAAGAUCUUGGUGCCGAGCAUAUUAAAGUUAUGACAUACUGCAACCCAUGUCUAGCCCCGGUAUUUAUCUCCUUGCUCCAAGUUUUCUCUACUAACAUUAUGGUAUAACUAUUUCAUGACCAAGUAGCCUCUCUAAACUUUGAGAAGGGGAUUGCCACUGUUUUUAAAACAAUCAAUUAUUUUUUCUAUGCAUAGAACUUCCCUUGAACUGAAAGUAGUUCUAAACAAACUAAUUAUUCAAUUGUGACCGGAAAAGACAAAGAAAUUGCAACUAUGUUUUGAAGCUUUAAAUUUCUCUGACAGACGAAUGAUAAGCCUAACCGGAGGAGAAACCUAUUUGAAGAGGCAAAGAAGUUGGACAUCCUAAUCAAAGACAAGUAUGGAGAACCAUAUAUGGUUCCAAAUACAGCUUUUGAUGUGGGAAUGUUGGAUUUGACACACCCAGUUGCAACAGGUUGGUUCAAGCAGGUUUUACAGGAAAUGGUAGAUGAUGGAGUCAGAGGAUGGAUGGCUGAUUUUGGGGAAGGGCUGCCUGUCGACGCUACCCUAUAUUCAGGUUUGAAGGCUUAAUUUGUUCUUGAUAGAUUUGUCAAGGUAUUUGUGCAGGUAAAAAAGUUAAUUCCCAUUCCUAAAAAUUUGGAUAGCUUCCAAUAGCAAGGAUUUUUGUCACCUCCAAAAUAUGCUUUGUUAUUGACCAUGUCUUGAUUUGUGCUUUGCUGUUCUAUAACUCGUCAAGUUUCUGGUAAAUUUUAGUAUAAUUAUAAUUUUCAUUUUCUUUCUUGCAUAAAUGAUUAAUACUGUGUUUAUUUGAAUUUCUAGUGACUGCUAACGAGGUAGGAGCUCUUAUUUCAGGUGAAGAUCCUAUUUCAGCUCAUAACAGAUAUCCAGAGUUAUGGGCCAAAAUAAACAGAGAGUUUGUUGAAGAAUGGAAAAGCAACCAUGCAACUAAGGAAGGAGAAGAACCAGAAGAUGCUUUGAUCUUCUUCAUGAGGGCUGGUUUCAGAGAGAGUCCCAGAUGGGGUAUGUUAUUUUGGGAAGGAGACCAAAUGGUAAGCUGGCAGGCUAAUGACGGUAUUAAGAGUGCUGUUGUUGGCCUAUUAAGCAGUGGACUUUCUGGGUAUGCCUUUAAUCACAGUGAUAUUGGAGGCUACUGUUCAGUAAAUUUACCAAUUAUUAAGUAUCAGAGAAGUGAAGAAUUGCUUUUAAGGUGGAUGGAGCUAAAUGCUUUCACCAGUGUUUUCCGGACACAUGAAGUAAGUAAACCUGAAUUACUAUCAGUUAUGUUAUCUAUCAUUUUUCCCAUAACAAGAAGUAGAGAGAUAUACAUUCUUCAACUUCUCUAAGCAAUUAAUACCAUGUGCAAUAUAGACAUACUAUCUGCUAUAAAGCCUAUUAGCUCCAUGGGCAAUACUUAUAACUAGCAAGUCUAUUAUCACCUGUGAAUAUGUAAAGCUUUUCGUAUAAAAUCAGGAUAUAUAUAUAUAUGUGUGUGUGUGUAUUUGUAUAUAUACAUAUACCAGAAAACAAGACUCAAGUUUAGGUUUUUAGUGAAAGUUAAUAGGUUGACAGUAAAUUACAUUUCUGAGUUUUACUUAAAAAAGUAAACUGUAAUGAUAUUUUUGAAGAGUUUAGAUAUUCCUCACUGGCAGGGAAACAGACCUACGUGCAACACUCAAUUUUACUCAAACGAGCAGACUCUUAACCAUUUUGCACGAUUUGCCAAAAUUUAUACCGCUUGGAAAUUCUACAGAAUCCAACUUGUAAAGGUGAUAAUAAAUUGAUGCUAUGUCCACUUUUUUCCAAGAAAAUUCACGGAUCUAAACUCUCUCUUUUUCAAUAAAACAGGAAGCAGCCCAGAAAGGCUUGCCUGUUUGCCGCCACCUAUUUCUACACUAUCCGGAUGAUGAACGGGUGCAUAGACUGAGUUACCAGCAAUUCUUGGUGGGUAGUGAGAUCCUAGUGGUGCCUGUCCUUGAUAAGGGCAAGAAGAAUGUCAAAGCAUAUUUUCCAGUAGGAGAAACUUGUUCUUGGCAACACAUAUGGACAGGAAAGUUAUAUACAAAACAAGGUUCAGAAGUUUUGGUAGGAGCUCCAAUUGGUUAUCCUGCUGUAUUUGUAAAAUGCGGGUCUAUCACUGGAGAAACUUUUCUCGCAAACUUGAGAAAUUUUGAUUUACUUUAAGAAUAUGACUUGUAACCUAAUGUUUGUCUAAUGUAGAGUAGCAUUUCUGCUUGUCAUGGGGCUUCCAUGCAGACCUAGAAUAAUGGUAAAAUCAAAACUAAAUGAAAUCAAAAGACGAUCACACGUAGACCCAAAUUCAAGCCCUUACUGAAGUGUCCUCUCCUCCCCGAGUCAUUUAAUCAAACAACUACCGUGCAUUAAAAUUCUGGUUCUAAAAUCUAUUCAAGUUCAAUAGACGAUGGUCCAUAAUCAGCUGCAACACUGAAUUCCAUGACAAAUCAAAUCAACCAAUCAUAAAGAGAACCUAGUUAGACAAAUGCCAAAAGAAACACCUCAUCGGAAGAUACUAAACAAACAUUGAAGAAGAGGUAUACAAAGUAUCUGCAUAUGUUAAUGGAAGAUCACAUUUCCAGUUGAGAGCAGUAACUAACCUUAGAAUCAAAGGCUGAGCGUGAAGCUUGAAGAUGAAUUAGCAAACGAGACCUCGUCGUUACUAAGCUCAGCUGGUUCUUCCCUGUGGAUUCCCAAAGGGAUUAAGCUUAACAAAGUCCUAUGGAGCUAAGCAAACGAGAAGAACUCUCAUCGUUGGAACAGAAGAUGCAGUGAAGAAGAAAAGCCAGAGAUUGAAGUGAUUGGAUCAUGGCUGAACUUUUUCUCUGUAAGCUUUCAGUUUCUGAAUUGAUUCGUAUAGUUUCGCGGGAUAUUCUCCCACUCGUGGGGUCUACAGUAUUAAUUUAUAUCCGACCUCAGCAAAUCCAAACGUCC
rnacentral:lncRNA from 1 species